CGUACAUAACAGCGCGUGACGUAUUUAAUGUACCGGAAGUUUGGUUUUUGAUCGUGAUUGAAGAAGCUUCACUGAAGAAAAUUACAGCAAAGCUUGAUUUAAUAGGGUACAAACACAACUACAGUACUGAGGGGUAAUUGUUCGUGCAUACCUCGCCGAGAAUGAAGAGAGAAUUUCGCAGUUCAAGAGAUGACUACUUAUCCUGCACCAUAAAAGUACUUUCAUAUAACUCACAGUUGAUGGAUAACACGGUUAAAGAGUAGUUAUAAGCCAAGGAGACGAAUGUUCUAAAAAAUGGAAGCUCAAAAGACGAAUGUUCUAAAAAAUGGCAGCUCAAAAUCAGUUGUAGACGACUCAAAUCAUGUUAAAAAGUACCUAAGGUAGCAGUGUUACAUGAACACCGACUCGACUAGUAGCAGCAUAUA